UACGUAGGCGGAAAAUUAAGUCAGUAGUGAAAUCCUGCAGCUUAACUGUAGAACUGUUAUUGAUACUGGUUUUCUUGAAUGUAGUUGAGGUAGGCGGAAUGUGUAAUGUAGCGGUGAAAUGCUUAGAUAUUACACAGAACACCGAUUGCGAAGGCAGCUUACUAAGCUACGAUUGACGCUGAGGUACGAAAGCGUGGGGAGCGAACA
rnacentral:rRNA from 1 species